AAAAAAAAAAAGGAAGAAUAAAAAAAACGUAAACGUAACGUGAUGGCGCAAAUAACCACGAAGACGGAAGAAUAAUUCUGUUUAUUACAAAAGACUGAAGAUAUAACUGCCGCCAUCCUUUAAUUUAUUUAUUUCUACGUUGAGGACACUUUAUAAACCUACAGAGAUACCGGACCAACGAACGACCUUCACAACGGGACGGAGCUAAUUAACGUUAACGGUUACUUGGAAUUCAAACAGUAAACGGUCAUCUGACAACUGCGCUGAGCCAAAGGUGGUCCAAGUUACAGUCUGAGGACGGGAACAGCAACAAGAGUUU